rnacentral:rRNA from 1 species
CCCUUAGAUGUUCUGGGCUGCACGCGUGCUACAAUGGCGUUUCCAGCAAGUCUGCGAACCCGAGAGGGCCAGCGGAUCUUCGAAUUGGCGUCGUGAUCGGGACAGUCGAUUGCAAUUAUUCGACUCAAACGAGGAAUUCCAUGUAAUCGCGAUUCAUCAUAUCGCGCUGAAUACGUCCCUGCCCUUUGUACACACCGCCCGUCGCUCCUACCGAGUGAGCGAUCCGGUAAAUGUUUUGGAUUGGUGCCGGGGCGGCUAGCUGCCGGUCGCUACGAAAUUUUGUGAACCUUAUCGCUUAGAGGAAGGAAAAGUCGUAACA